GUGGGGAAUAUUGGACAAUGGGCGAAAGCCUGAUCCAGCCAUGCCGCGUGAGUGAUGACGGCCUUAGGGUUGUAAAGCUCUUUCGCCAGGGAUGAUAAUGACAGUACCUGGUAAAGAAGCCCCGGCUAACUUCGUGCCAGCAGCCGCGGUAAUACGAAGGGGGCUAGCGUUGUUCGGAAUUACUGGGCGUAAAGCGCGCGUAGGCGGAUCAUUAAGUCAGGGGUGAAAUCCCGGGGCUCAACCUCGGAAUUGCCUCUGAUACUGGUGGUCUUGAGUCCGUGAGAGGUAAGUGGAACUCCGAGUGUAGAGGUGAAAUUCGUAGAUAUUCGGAAGAACACCAGUGGCGAAGGCGGCUUACUGGCACGGUACUGACGCUGAGGUGCGAAAGCGUGGGGAGCAAACAGGAUUAGAUACCCUAGUAGUCC
rnacentral:rRNA from 1 species